UACGAAGGGGGCUAGCGUUGUUCGGAAUUACUGGGCGUAAAGGGCGCGUAGGCGGCUUCGCUAGUCGGGUGUGAAAUGCCUGGGCUCAACCCAGGAAUUGCACUCGAAACUCCGAGGCUUGAGUGUGGGAGAGGUUGGUGGAAUUCCCAGUGUAGAGGUGAAAUGCGCAGAUAUCAGGAGGAACACCGGUGGCGAAGGCGGGUCUCUGGGCCGAUAUUGACGCUGAGGAGCGAAAGCGUGGGGAGCGAACAGG
rnacentral:rRNA from 1 species